GCACCGUUAAACUACAAGUCCCAUGAUCCUUUGCGCGUGGAGGCAUCAACGCUCCCAGCCCGUGUUCAUUAGCGCUGUGCAGGCGCUGUCGCCCGGUCCGCGGUCUCUACCGCUGGUCCGGCGGGACUUCAGCUCGUCCCCCCUGGCUGGUGAGUCGCUGUUAACCUGACCGACACGAGCGGAGAGUGCUUUGGGGUUCUUUUCUUUGCCGGUACGCGUUUAAUGCAGCACACGUGGAUACGUCCAGACUCUCCGGGCUGAAGAUGGAAAGUUGGGGACCUUGAUGGACUGUGGGCGGAUGUGGCAACCUGUUCUUUUCGAUUAAAGUCGCACAGCAGACCCGCGUUUAAAUUUUUGGAGGCACGUUUCUACCUACCAAUUAUGUUCCUUGUCUAAUUCGUCGUAUUACGGCGCGGUCUGUUCAAUACGAACCCAUGUUUCCCGGUGGGGUGAUGACCAUGUGCCCUCCGCUGUGCCCUGGGAACCGUGACCUUCAGAAGUGUGACCAACACACUGACCCUGAACUUCAAGGAACUGCAGCUCGAAAUGGCAAACCACACUAUACUCUCUCCAGGGAUCCCGAUUUCGGAUAACGGACAUCAGUGGAUACAAUCAAGAUGGAUACUUUUACCGAUAUUCCCGUAUUGGAAUUACCCAGAAUUCCCCUAACAGAGCCUGCGGUUCCGUGAGCCACAUCAAUAUGCGAAUAUGUGUAACUACACAUGGAUAAGCCAGACCUGGACUAAAGGUCGACUGGCAGAGGGUGCUGGAGUUGCUGUAGAAUCCCAUGGCUCACUUUCCAUUCACUUUCCAGUUUCUGGAAAUCAGGGCUGGAUGGUGUACCUCUGACGUAAAAGACGGGAAUGACAGGUUAUUCACGGAGGUCAGUGGGAGAAGUUGCAGAGGAAAGUCGGGUUGGAAACGAACAGUGACCUUAAACCAACAAAUCAGCUGGGCCUAAACACCCCCAUCCAGACAUCUGGACCUCAUGGACAGACAUGUCUUUUGGCACUACUAAAAUAGUAUUGAAAGAUUGAGAGGUCCUGUGUCUAGCAAUCUACCCCCUUUCUUUGACUAAAUGAAUUUUAGUUUAUUUCAAUGAUAUAUUGUAUCAUUCUGGUUUAUUUGAUUUGAAAUUACUAUAAACCAUUUAUAAUUAAAGACCCAGUUUAUGGUGGGCUAACACAAACGUAAUUAAUAAUAAUUAGGAUUUCCUUGAAUUAUGACUUAAAAAGUCGAAUUGAUUGUGCAGCCAGAAUGACUUUUUACCCCAACACCUCUCCCUGUCAGUGUUUGUUGUAUUCAGAAACACCUUUAUCCUGCUCAUGAUGAAGAUGAAUUAUUUUAUUUUUGCCACAUCACGCUAACACACACACCCUCUCCUCCAUCUGGAUUGUGUUUGUUUGGCUUGGUCGUGGUUCUAGCUGCACCUCGGGGCGGUGCGCUGGCUUCACCCUCCUCCAGAUGGACGUCGGACCGCAGUGGAGCUUGGCUGUGGACCGGCCCCUCUCCCUGGGCCUGACGCAACCUCCUAUCACCCAUCUUCAGCACUGAAUACCCGGCCGUGACCAGGCUCAGUGCCCAGGUGUGCCCUGCCUGCUUACAUCACAACCAGAUGGGGCAGACAGCGCUACUGAUGUGCCCACAGAGCCCCCCAGUUCCUUCACAAGCGCUUUUGUUUUUAGUCUAACGAACUGUUCCUAUCACAUAUUUCCAAUAGGAAAUAAAAAAAAGUAUGAAAUUCAAACUGUUUCCUGGCCUAUCUCCU
ensembl:lncRNA